rnacentral:rRNA from 1 species
CCUACGGGUGGCAGCAGUGGGGGAUAUUGCACAAUGGGGGAAACCCUGAUGCAGCGACGCCGCGUGUGGGAAGACGGUCCUCUGGAUUGUAAACCACUGUCCCCAGGGACUAAGAUGACGGUACCUGGGGAGGAAGCUCCUGCUAACUACGUGCCAGCUGCCGCGGUAAUACGUAGGGAGCGAGCGUUGUCCGGAAUUACUGGGUGUAAGGGGAGCGUAGGGGGGACUGCUAGUUGGGGGUCAAAUCUACCGGCUCACCCGGUAGCCGCACUCGAAACUGCAGUUCUUGAGUGAAGUAGAGGCAGGCGGAAUUCCUAGUGGAGCGGUGAAAGGCGUAGAUAUUAGGAGGAACGCCAGUGGCGAAGGCGGCCUGCUGGGCUUUUACUGACGCGGAGGCUCGAAAGUGUGGGGAGCGAACAGGAUUAGAGACCCGUGUAGUC